GAGAUAACCCUGUACGACGCGCACGAGAUAAUUUUCACCUAAUUAUAUUUCGGGACGAGUAUCGCACUUGGCAAUUUGGCCAAUUAGAAAGUUCAAUAAAGGGGAUAGAGUGUCUUAAAGAAAACCAUAACCCCCUUUUCACCUGCUGUAGCCAUUGUUUUCUUUUGCGCGCUUUUGUUACGUGUCGAUUAUCGUAAUCAGGAUUGGGAUUUUCCUACUUGCGAUGACGUGUGGUCCGGGUUCACUUGACUUUGGCCUAUUGGGGAGAAGCCCCUCUUUGAUCAGUGUAUAACAGUAUAAUGGACUGCAAAACCACCUUUGGUUAACCAGGAAAACCAGGCGACCGGGCUUUGCCCUGGAAAAAUAAAUCAACGGAAGUGCCGGAAACAUCGACUUGCUUCGAUCUAGAUCGGUGGUGAAUGCUGGCCCACAUUGUUUAGCGCGAGGCGAGAGUUAAAGUUUGGAAGAGGAAAGAAGGUGGGCCGACCGCUAAGCGCAUUGUGCAGAAUACGUAAUAUGUAUUGACCCCCAUAUUUCGAUAUGUACGCCGUGUCGUAUCCGCAAAGAGGGCUCACGCAAUUGGCCAGUCGAUGUAUUUUAAAUUAAGCCUCGGUAAUUAGGUCCCGGUACUGAUAUCGGCCGCGAGCCGUGCGUUUUUAACGAGGCACCGUUAGUUACCUCGUAAAAACCGGAUCAAUUUUAAAAUCUGGUUUCCACUGGUCCGGAAGGGACGGAAUAAAAUGAAUGAAAUUUGGUAAUAAUGUUAACAACCGUUAAACAUCGGUGAUGCGAAGAUUCUUUCUCUGAAAGAAAUUUUUAUUUUCAAAGAAUACGAAUUUUAAACAGAACUUUAAACAGAAGUAAGUUAAAAUUCUACGGAUUUCAUCAACAAUUAAAAAUAAUACCAAUAAAAGCAGAUAGAUAUAUGUAUGUAAAAGAAUUUAUCUUGAUAAAAAAAAUAACGAAAGUUUCAUAUUUUAACUUUUGCUUGAGUCCUCUUCAAUACAUAUGACGUUCAGUUAUAUAAAAUCAUACAUUAAUUAUUACAUUAAACAAACCUAAUCAUCUGUAUAACAAACUUUUCAUAAUAUGGCAAGAUAAGUAUAAAAGUGAUGUGAAGUGCAUAGUUGAAAGAUAAAACCAGACGUCGAGUAGAUAUGUUUUAUCGUACAAAAAUAAUACAGUAUAAUCAACAAUCUUUGAUUAGAAGAUACAUAAUAAUACGUAUAAAAGUAAAAUUUUAUAUAACACAUGUUGUGAAUAGAAUAUAUAUAGAAUAUUUCUUAAAUAAUGCUCAAUCCAAUUAGCCUGGUCCUUUAAGCUUUGUCCACAAUGCUAAAAAUAGCUUCGAGAUCUCGAACAAAGGGAAAAUUGAUCAAACAUUUGCUAUUCGUCAAUUGGUCAAUAUGAUUGGUUAAUUUUUUCUUUGUCUGAAGUCUCGGAUUUCUGGCAUCAUAGAUAUAAAUCUUAAAAAAUUGGCGUUGAUUGAUUUGAGCGCUAUUGAGGCAUAUGUGAGUGAGACAAAGAUAGCUCAUUCAUGUAGGUCCAAUAGUUCACGCACACCAUCAAGUGACUUACUCAUAUAGGCCCGUCCAAAGGAUGGCCUAUUGAUUGGAUUAACCUUUCUCAAUUAUUUAUUUUAUUAUUCAUUAUAGAAAAAAGAUUUAGGACUUUUAGAUGUAAUUUUUUAUGAGAAAUAUUGCUACAUCAGUAAACUAUUUAAGAAGCACUCUAUAUACACGCGUUAAAAAUUCAACAAUUUCAGAUUAGUCUCAUCUCUGAGAUCAAUCAUCGCACAUUAUGGAAAGAUAGGAAGUGAGGAACGGGAAAGAUAAUUGGCGUGAAUAUCGAAUAUUAUUUUUAACAUUAAAAAAAAUUAUAAAUUGUCAAACUAGAAAUUAUCACGACUGCCCUACGAAAUCGAUGCUCACCUCCUCCUGUUAAUUCGUUAAAUUUCGCUGGAUUCGUUAACCUUUCCUGAAUUAAGUUUAGCGCCUAAAAUCGGUUGAGUUGCGGCGCGAGUCGAUUUCAAUCAUAAACGCAAACGUUAUUACGGUUUCGCUGCAAACGCGUUGCAACUGGAGAAACCCCCUCGCGUUCAAUCUUAUUGCAUCUACAUACAUACGUACAGAUGCACAUUUUAUGUUCUUUCGCAUCAAAAUGCAGCGAAUUCCUGACCUAGUGCCUCCUAUACUUAUGCUUAACGGUAGUAUCGUUAUAAUACUCCGUACUUUGAAGAAUCGCACACUCACUUCUUUUCACGAAAAGAAAGAAAAAAAAAAAAAGAAUUCUACAUCCCCAAUAUUGGUUUUGAUCGGGUCAAUAUCGGAUUAUUCCUUGACUGAGAUUUUAUCCGUCAAGAAUCAAAGAACCAUUGCCACCUUCUCUUCCUUCACUUGGAGUUACACGUCGUAGACUUAAUUUACCGUGAGUGUAGCCACGUGUAUCGGAAAGAAAUUAUCUCGCGGUCAGCUACUUUCUAAGUGUAAACGACACGUGCGGUUGUUUUGCUGAGCGGGCAAUUAAAUCCAGUCGAAGUAAUUAUUAUAGGAUGUCGUAAUUAUUAUUAUAGAAAGAAAAAAAAUGUAUGUAAUGCCGAAGGAUAUACGGAAAUUAGGUGGAUUUUAAUUUCUAUUGAAAUCUUCCGAUAAUACACUCUCGGAUAUCAGCGUAUGAUGUAAUCUUUUUUAAUCGUACUUCCGGUGUAAUAUCAUUCCGGUCUAAAGAUUUAUCGGGAGUUGAUGUAACGGUCAAUGAUCCUAUUUCUCUCAUAUAUACGCGUUUAUCGCACAUUCGGACGAAAGCGAACGUGAUGAUUUGCAACCUGUUAGAAAUUAGUCUUUCGUAUCUAGGAUCAAUUUAUUCUGAGAAUUGUGCUAAAUUGUGGUCUGUGUUAUGCACUUUGUACUUGAAUACUAAAACCAAUGUUAAUUAUUAACAUGUGAAAAAUUUAUUGGAAAAGGAAAAACAAUUAUAGACAUAAACAAUGGUGCUAUUCGAGCCAUUUGGAAUUGUCCAGGAUUGAUACCGUAAACUUGAACUGAAAAAAAAAAAA
rnacentral:lncRNA from 1 species